AACGAACGCUGGCGGCAGGCCUAACACAUGCAAGUCGAACGCCGUAGCAAUACGGAGUGGCAGACGGGUGAGUAACGCGUGGGAACAUACCCCUCGGUUCGGAAUAACUUAGGGAAACGUUGAGCUAAUACCGGAUACGUCCGAGGUUUUAACCGGCCUCGGAGAAAGAUUUAUCGCCGGAGGAUUGGCCCGCGUCUGAUUAGCUUGUUGGUGAGGUAAUGGCUCACCAAGGCGACGAUCAGAGCUGGUCUGAGAGGAUGAUCAGCCACAUUGGGACUGAGACACGGCCCAAACUCCUACGGGAGGCAGCAGUGGGGAAUAUUGGACAAUGGGCGAAAGCCUGAUCCAGCCAUGCCGCGUGAAGUGA
rnacentral:rRNA from 1 species